GAUGACUUCAAACAUUUGCAGGAGCCAUGCUGACACUCAGAAUGAAGAAACAUCAAAAAACUUUCCUAGUGAGAUCAUAAAAGCAGAGACACAAUGAUCAAAGCAAGAAAACACAAGACUCUUACUCCAUCCCUAACACAAGAUGCUUUCUCUUUCUAGGACCAGGAGCUUACCUGGUGUGGAGAUGUUCCAGUAGUCUACACACAGUAUAUGAGUUUGCUUCUUCAGCUAUGGGACCAGAUGGCUCCCAUGCAUAAUGCACUGAAUCAUGGCAAGGCUGGAGGUAUUUGUUAUGGAUAACAGCAAACACAUGCGCUGGACCAGGUUAAACUCUUCCCCUGUCAGCAUAUGGUGCAUACUGCAUACGGAUGGUACUACAGCAGGAGGUGUCCCAGGCCAUCCUGUAACUACAGCAGGAUGCUCCAGGAGUGAACACAAAGAAAGAGCAGUGCGGCCAAAACCAGUCUCUGCUGACAACAACAUUUCCUGAAGACCUACCAGUGCUUCUGGAGGGUGAAGCAGGUCUGAGAGACAUCCAGUGAAAAUUAACAGCAAAGUGAAAAUUAAUAACAAUGAAAAUUGUUAAACAGUGAAAAUUAAUAGCAAAGUUCAAUGGACAUCUGCAAAUAGAUGGAAGCCUAAUGCAGGACAAGCAUUUUCAGAGUCAAGGUUUUUGGCUCAUCUGCAAAGAUGACCCAGGCUCCUACAGACCUCACUGCUACACUACCCAGGUCUAGCCUUACAAAGGCUUUAUGGAACUGGCACAUGAAAUUAUUCCCACAGGAGAUGUGGAACAAGGGAUGUGAAGCCUCAUAUGCUCAGAGGCUUUUUGUGCAACUGUGAGAAGCCUGUGGGGGCACAAUCUGCCAGGGCAUGCUGGAGGCUGGUGGCAGGACAUGGGAUGAGCCCAGACC